rnacentral:lncRNA from 7 species
AGUACUGGAAUGCUUGAAGAGAUUGUGCAUUAGGAAUCUGUGAGGAGUCAGGUCCUGUAAACCAGCCAUCAUCAGCAACAUCACGUAAUGAAGUCCUAGAACUGCAGGCUUCUCUGCUUCAGUGCUCUUGGGAGAGGUGAAUGGAAAACACUUGAAAGAAACCUGCUGCAAGCAGUGAGGGAGUUUGUCAUAUAUGGAAUGAAAAGAUAAAAUGGAAGAAAUAAUCAGUUUGGUUUUCAGACUCAUUUCCAUUGUCACUAGAUGGCACAUUGGUCUAAAGUUUCAGAGCCAUCACCGUGGUGUUGAUCACAGUUACAGCAGCUGCAUGGACGAAUUAUAAACUAUAUAUGGGAAACAGCCAGGACAUCACUAUAAGUGCUGUGUCUGAACUGCCAUGCACAGAAAAAAGGAAAUAUUUCAGCACUGGUUCACCAGGAGGCCAGCUGGUUGUCAGCAUAAGAAAAAAGUCCUCCUAGGAAAUGCACUCUUCCCACCAAGGAUGGCAUGAAAAUGGCCAUAAUUGCUGGCAGGAUGAAGCUAUGUCAUUUGAACUUUAGAGGGAUACAAGCAUUUCAAAUGUUUGAAUGCAGCCAUGGUGGCAAAAUGAAGGGAAGAGAGGAAGAAGGCUAUGUGCUUGACACUGAGUUCACACCAUUCUAGGUAAAAGCAAGAAGAGACACAGAUUUAUCCAUUUUUGAUUUGCAGGUUGAACCUUGCUGUUGAUCAAAGUGCAUUUACUUGUUUUUAGUAUUGUAAGCUUCUUUCCCUUGCCUUGUUACCAUGUUCAACUACUUAUUUUAAUUGCAAGGAAAAGAAAGCCGCUGAUCUGCAUAAAGGUUAUAAGGAAAUGUGCACAAAUGUGCAAAAACUCAAGUGUUUACAUGAACCAGUUAAAUAGCUCCCCAUGUCCUUAAUGAGCAAGCACGGGAAUUCAAUUAACUGAUAUUUUAUUUGUUAAAUGAACUGACCUUUAUCCAGUGCAAUCUAUAAAAUUAAUUUGGCACUCUGUAAUCCUUGCAGAUUGGCAAU